CUCCAUGUAAACUCAUAAAUAGCCGCGGUAUACUGACCGUGCAAAGGUAGCAUAGUAAUUUGUCUUUUUAUUGAAGGCUGGAAUAAAUGAGUUAAUGUUACUUCUUCUGUUAUGUGGUUAAUUAAUUAAAACUUAGUAUUUAUGUUAAAAAACAUAAAUAUUUAGGAAGACGACAAGACCCUGUGAAACUUAAAUCCCAUUUAAUUUUAUGUAUUUAGAAUUUUUUAUUUUUUAAACGGAUUUAUGCUGGGGCGGCUUCUAAAUAACAUUAGAAAUGAAAACUAUUUUAGAAAAUAAAGAACUUAGUAAAAAAGUAGAAAAAGUUACUCCAGGGAUAACAGCAUAAUUUUUUUUUAAAGAUCUUAUUGAAAAAAAAGACUUAUGACCUCGAUGUUGAAUUGAGGAGCCUUGUUUAAGCAUAAAUAAACAAAGGAAGUCUGUUCGACUUUUAAACCCUC
rnacentral:rRNA from 1 species